rnacentral:rRNA from 1 species
UACGUAGGGGGCAAGCGUUGUCCGGAAUUAUUGGGCGUAAAGAGCUCGUAGGCGGCUUGUCGCGUCGUCCGUGAAAACCUGGGGCUCAACCCCAGGCUUGCGGUCGAUACGGGCAGGCUCGAGUUCGGUAGGGGAGACUGGAAUUCCUGGUGUAGCGGUGAAAUGCGCAGAUAUCAGGAGGAACACCGGUGGCGAAGGCGGGUCUCUGGGCCGAUACUGACGCUGAGGAGCGAAAGCGUGGGAGCGAACAGG